UGUACAGUCAUGUGGUUAGAGCACUCACCCAUUUUAUUAUGUAUUUGAGAUUCUUGAAAAUAUAAAUAAAAUGGGGGGAAAAACCCUCCAAAGCCAACCAAAACUAAACCAGUUUUUCUUUUGUUAGGAACAAAUUCAGAGACAUUUGGAGAGUUUGAAAAAAGAGAGAGACGAGAUUCUGUUGUAUAAAUCGAGUGGGGAAAAUACAAGCCAGGAACUACUGAAACAGCUCGAAACUGGGAGGCAAAAGAUUGUGGCUGAAUUUCAGCAACUGCACCAGUUUUUGGAGGAACAAGAGCGACUCCUGCUGGCCCAGCUGGAAGAGCUGAAUAAGGAAAUUGAAAAGAGGAGGGAUGAGUAUGUUGCCAAACUAUCUGAGGAACUAUCCUCUUUCAGUUCCCUGAUCAGUGAGAUGGAACAGAAGUGCCAGCUGCCAGCAAGUGAAUUCCUGCAGGACAUCAAAGGCACCUUGAGCAGAUGCGAGAGGGAGAAGUUUCAGAACCCAGUGGCCUUUUCUUCUGAACUGAAAUGGAGAAACUGGGAAUCUUCUCAAAGAAAUGCAUCUCUGGAGACCAG